UACGGAGGGUGCGAGCGUUGUCCGGAAUCACUGGGCGUAAAGGGCGCGUAGGCGGCCUGAUAAGUAGGGGGUGAAAUCCUGGCGGCUUGAACCGCAGGGCUGCCUUCUAAACUGUCAGGCUAGAGCACGGUAGAGGCAGAUGGAAUUCCCGGUGUAGCGGUGGAAUGCGUAGAGAUCGGGAAGAACAUCAGUGGCGAAGG
rnacentral:rRNA from 1 species